GUGCUCGCUUCGGCAGCACAAACACUAAAACCGGAACCAUAUAGAGAUUAGCAUGGCCCCUGCGUAAGAUGACACGCAAGUUUGUGAAAUGUCCCUUAUUUAA